rnacentral:rRNA from 1 species
AGAGUUUGAUCCUGGCUCAGAGCGAACGCUGGCGGCAGGCUUAACACAUGCAAGUCGAGCGCCCCGCAAGGGGAGCGGCAGACGGGAGAGUAACACGUGGGAACGUGCCCUUUGGUUCGGAACAACACAGGGAAACUUGUGCUAAUACCGGAUAAGUCCGUAAGGAGAAAGAUUUAUCGCCAAAGGAUCGGCCCGCGUCU